rnacentral:RNase_P_RNA from 1 species
UGAGUUGGCUAGACAAUCGCUGUGUACCUUGUGUGCACGGAGGAAAGUCCGGGCUCCAUAGGGUAAAGUGCCAGGUAACGCCUGGGAGGCGCGAGCCUACGGAAAGUGCAACAGAAAAUAAACCGCCCGUCACUGUUUUCUCUGAAUACAGUGACGGGUAAGGGUGAAACGGUGGGGUAAGAGCCCACCGCGUUGGUGGUAACAGCAACGGCACGGCAAACCCCACUAGGAGCAAGACCAAAUAGGAACCCCCGUUCAUUUCGGUGAACAAUAUGUGACCCACAUAGGGUUCGGGUAGGUUGCUUGAGGCAUGUGGCGACGCAUGUCCCAGAUGAAUGGUUGUCCGCGACAGAACCCGGCUUAUCGGCCAACUCUCUUU